rnacentral:lncRNA from 10 species
UGCCUCCCUUUAGGGCCUCAUGGAGAAGGGUGUGUGAUCUCUGUUAACCUUGAGCUCCCUGAGCAAACCUCAGGUCUUGCCACCCCUCUGGGUGCCCCACAGCUGAGCGCAUAGCCAGGCUUCCACCCCAGGACUCACACUGCCCAUCACCUUCCCAGCCACCCAGGGCACUGUCCUGAUAGCUUCUCCCACCCUCUUCCAGCCACCAGGUGCAAUCUCCAACAUGUGCGGGCUUUGGGAAAACACAAUCGGGCAAGUGAAGUUUGUUGCAGACAAGUUCUUCUUCCCCUCUGCCACAACCUCCUCCAAGGCACUCUCUCCUGCCCACGGAUCUUGCUUGGGAAAGGAAUGGGGCAAGUGGAAAUGGCCAUUUCUUAGAUGAACACAUCAGGGACUUGCUCCAGUCUGAAGUCUAUACAGAGCUAGGCUUUGAAUCCAGUCACGUAACUGCAUAGCAGCAAAUCAGCCUUUCAGAAUAUUGCAGGAUCAGCAAUGAAAUUCCCUUUGCCAGAGAAAUGGACAAACAAGGAAGCAACAAUGGUGAUGGUGGAAGUGUUCUUCAAGUCUAAGUUUGGGUUCUAGAAACAUCUGGCCAAAUAACGUCUUUCACAACUAAAAUAGAAUAUAAAGAAGCCAUUUGACCUGCCUCAGUUAUCAUGGUCAUCAUGACAAGCUGCAGCAGGACAAAUCAGCUUAACAAUUUCGGAAACUGCCAGAAAUGCUAUUUGGAUUAAUUUUUAUUUGGGAGUUGGCUAAAACUGGUCACAUCCCCAAAUACCUCAAGAUAAACAACAUAGCAUUAUCAUACAAAUCUAUAUUCACCAAAUUAGGUUAAAAUAGGCUGUUUUGAGAAGGUUGAAUUUUUUUAUGGGGAUUAUUCCCAAAAUACGUUUAGACACAAGAAGUUCAACUUUUCUUUUUUCCAUAUUUGAUGUCAAUCAAACUAAUUACUACAUGUUUGGAAUUGCAUUAAUUGUAUUCUUCAGUUACCUAUAAAAUUUAAUUAUCAUGUCUUUAUGGAAAUUUUAAUAUCAGAUAUAAAGAAUGGCAUAUUUAAAAUGACAUUUUAAUACUUUAUAAGAAGCAACAGAAAUUCGACUUCCAAAGCACCUCUCAGUACUACCAUUGGAGUACAUCUAUAUUUUUCUGUCAGAAUACUAUCCAAAGCAAGCAUAAGUAAUCCUUAUUUUCACGAUACAUUGAUGCUCAAAAGUUGUGUGUUCAGCAUGUCUACAAAGUAAAUUACCGUAUAUUUGAAACAGCAGACUAAAACUGAAGUAACAUCUGGAAAAAAUUGCCCUAAUUGCUAGCCCCUAAAUUCAUCUGACCUUGACACUCUCAUCUGAAUUUAAAAGUGUUUUAAAUUCUUAGCCAAUCAAUUCAAGCCAGAACUGAAUUCAUAUGUCUUCAGAAACUGCUAAUCUAGAACAAUGUAACUAGAAUAGAUUCCUGAUCAAACUUUGGUUUUGUUCAGGUAUCCACUCAUUUCCUAGGUGACCCAGAGGCCACAACUCACAACUCCACCCCUUCCCGUGGCUGGUCCAGGCUGUGCAGAUCUUGUAGUCACAAAGUCCUGGCAAUGGGCUGGGGGUGGGAUCUGACCUAGUGCUGACCAACAUGUCAAAAACAGAUGGCUGCAGAACCCUCUGGAAAAGCUUCCCUCAUUCUUAAGGAAUCCUGUGAAGAGAUGGUCUGUUUCUGUCCUGUUCCCUGGAUGUCAAAUGUCUGGGUUUGAGACCCAGAACUCCUGAAGCCAUCUCACAACUACAAGGGGAGCAGAUGUAGCCACUGAGGAUGGCCAAGCAGAGGGAGGGAGGACCUUUCCUGCCAGCAUCGCCAGCGGCUGAAUCACAGCCCAGAACCCCACAGCACCCUAAACGUCCUCUUAACAAAUGUAAUACGUUGUCUUACUGUUUGUGCCUGUGUGAAAAGUCCUCUUUGCUUGCAGUGAAGGCAUCCUAGUUGAUAAACAUGAAAUUUGAAAAUUGGAGAUUUCUUGGAACCAACAUUUCAUUUGUUUCAGUUCAUUUUCGUGGCUCAUCUUUUAAACCCUCUAUUGAAUUGCUUUUAAGAAGAUAUGCUGUAUUAAAAAUUACUCCUAAACUAUUAGUUUUUCUAGAUGGAAGGAUAUUCAAGUAUCAGGUUUUCCUAAAAUGGGUCACAUGAAUAUUUUCUUAAUUGGCUAUUCAACCUGGGCCACAUUUCUUUACAAUUGAUCUCAUGUUUCCCUUAGUGUUAUUUAAAGUGUCAAGUGAAAAAGGCAGUAAAAAAAUGUGUCUUGGUGUUUAUUCCUACAGACUGCUGGACUAAAUUAUUUGUGGUAAUUGAGGCCUAAUUGGCUAUAGGUUUUGUUAAAAUUUGUGAAGUAAUCAUGUUAUCACCCAGCCAGAAUUCCCUGGUUUUGAACUUGGGGACUUAGAUUACUCUUUAAUUGGAC